rnacentral:rRNA from 1 species
UACGUAGGGCGCAAGCGUUGUUCGGAUUCAUUGGGCGUAAAGGGCGCGUAGGCGGCGGGGUAAGUCGGGUGUGAAAUCUCAGAGCUCAACUCUGAAACUGCACUCGAUACUGCUCUGCUUGAGGACUGGAGAGGAGACUGGAAUUCACGGUGUAGCAGUGAAAAUGCGUAGAUAUCGUGAGGAACACCUGUGGUGUAGACGGCUUUUCUGGACCAUUAGCUGACGCUGAGACACGAAAAGCGUGGGUAGCAAAACAGG